rnacentral:rRNA from 1 species
UACGUAGGGUGCAAGCGUUGUCCGGAAUUAUUGGGCGUAAAGAGCUCGUAGGCGGUCUGUUGCGUCGGCUGUGAAAACCCGGGGCUCAACUCCGGGCCUGCAGCCGAUACGGGCAGACUAGAGUUCGGCAGGGGAGACUGGAAUUCCUGGUGUAGCGGUGAAAUGCGCAGAUAUCAGGAGGAACACCGGUGGCGAAGGCGGGUCUCUGGGCAUUACCUGACGCUGAGGAGCGAAAGCAUGGGGAGCGAACAGG